rnacentral:rRNA from 1 species
UACAGAGGUCCCAAGCGUUGUUCGGAUUCACUGGGCGUAAAGGGUGCGUAGGCGGUCGGGUAAGUCUGAUGUGAAAUCUCACAGCUUAACUGUGAAACUGCAUUGGAUACUAUUCGGCUAGAGGAAUGGAGGGGAGACUGGAAUACUUGGUGUAGCAGUGAAAUGCGUAGAUAUCAAGUGGAACACCAGUGGCGAAGGCGAGUCUCUGGACAUUUCCUGACGCUGAGGCACGAAAGCCAGGGGAGCAAACGGG